rnacentral:rRNA from 1 species
AACGAACGCUGGCGGCGCGCCUAAUACAUGCAAGUCGAGCGAGAAGACGUAGCAAUACGUUUGUAAAGCGGCGAACGGGUGAGGAAUACAUGGGUAACCUACCCUCGAGUGGGGAAUAACUAGCCGAAGGGUUAGCUAAUACCGCGUACGCUCCUUGGACUUCGGUUCAGGGAGGAAAGCGAUGCCGAGGGUAUCGCGCUCUUGGAUGGGCUCAUGUCCUAUCAGCUUGUUGGUGAGGUAACGGCUCACCAAGGCUUCGACGGGUAGCUGGUCUGAGAGGACGAUCAGCCACACUGGCACUGCGACACGGGCCAGACUCCUACGGGAGCAGCAGUAAGGAAUAUUGCGCAAUGGGCGAAAG